CUACAGCCCGUGCUCCUCCCAUUGAUGUGGGUGCACGCAGACUUUGCAGGGUCCAAGCUCUGCAUUUUAGUACUCAUUUUGAAUGAGUUUUCUUUAAAUCACGUUUAUUUUCGAUGUUGGCUUUCUCGGGACCGCAUUCAGGAUCUGAGCUUUCUGCAGGAGCAUCUUUGCCAAGAAACUCUUUCAGGAGAUAAUUUAAGGAAAAUGAGCACCAAAGAAUGGAAAUUACAGGAUUGAAUUCGCUUAAUUCAAAUGGAAAAAGUCUUCAUGGUUUCUACCCAGCAGUCAGAAUCCAAGACAACUCCUCAUUUUGUUGAAGAAUUGUCCAGAAAUGAAGAAGACUUUCCUGUCAGAGGGAGAUUUCUCUGCCAUGGAUCUCAUCUGGGUUCUGGAAACUACUGUUCCCCUGAGAAAAUGAAGGGAAUAUGGACCUCUCCAGGAGUCAAAUUUCUGUCUUUUGCAUACCUGCACUGAUUGGGCUUCCAAGGUGGGAGAUUUCUUACCUUCUCCUUUGGAUAGUAACAGCAGAGCAUUUGUUUGGUCCACCUUGCCCAGGGAGGAGGCUACCAUCAGCACUAGUGGGCAUGCAGGUUCAGAGAGAUGGGCAGGAUCUGCAUGAGCCUUGAACCAAGACUGCUGAACACGUCAGUAGGUGUUUUGCUUGACUUUACACUCCAUGUUUGGGCAUGUUUGAAAGCAGGCAAGGCAGUUGACUGAAUGCAUUCAGAUCUCCAGCCCAGAGGAGAUGACAAUUUAAUUUUGAAUCACAGAAUCACAGAGUAACACAGAAUCACAGAACUGCAGCGGUUGGAAGGGACCUCAUGAAAACGAAUCCAGCUCCCCUGCUAAAGCAGGUACCCUACAGCACGUUGCAUAGGUAGGUGUCCAGAUGGAUCUUGAAUAUUCCCAUAGAAAGAGACCCCACAACCUCUCUGAGCAGCCUGUUCCCCUUACUGUAAAGAAGUUCUUCUGCAAGUUGGUACAGAACUUCCUAUGUUCAAGUUUUAGGUAAUUGUUCCUUGUCCUGUUGUUACACACCACUGAGAAUAGACUGACCCCAUCCAUUUGCCUUUGACCUCCCUUUAGAUAUUUAUAAACAUUUAUCAGAUCUCUCCUCAGUCAUUUCACCAGGUGAACAGACCCAGGUUACUCAGACUUUCCUCAUAUGUGAGAUGGUCCAAGUCCUUUACCAUCUUUGUGGCCCUCCACCAGUCUCCUUCUAGGAGAUCCCUGUGUUUUUUGAACUGAGGAGCCCAGAACUGGACACAGUACUCCAGAUGUGGCAUCAUCAGGGCAGAGUAGAGGGGGAGGAUCACUUCUGUUGACCUGCUGGCCAUGCUGAUGACCAGCAGGAUGAGCUAAAAAAAAUAGGAGAUGAGGUUGCCCAUAGAUGCAACCCUCUUGGAGCUUCUCUAAAACAAGCCCAUCUGUUUGCUCAUAUUUACCCUGUCUGGAUGAUGCCACAGACUUUUUUGCAGCUAGCAUUUCCCAGUGUUGUUGAAUUCAGGGUGGAAAUAGUGGUGAAAACAUUUUCCUGGGACUCUUCCUCCCCUCUGAACUGAAAUGGAGCCCACCCCUGGCAAGAGAUGGGCAGGUGGAAGACAGCGUAAGUGUUGUGUGGAAAGGGACACUGACCUGCUCUGUCGCCUCUGAUGAAUUACUUCCACAAAGCAGCAACGUGGUUAUCUUUAACAAGAACUUUGUCCAGCACAGCGAGGCUUUCCUUCAGCUUCGCCACUGUGGAAUACUCUCAUAACUUUAAUUCAUAUCAGGGGUCGAUUGUGAGUUUAAAUAUAUGCAAUGCACUUUUAAGUCUUGUGCAAACAAAGACCAGACAGGGACUGGGACAAACUGAUGCAUGAGCAACCAUGUUGUUCCUUCUCCAGUCCAAGAACUGGAUUCUUUCACAAAAUCCUCUGUGUGGCAGUGAUAACAAGACAAAUAUUUGACAUAGCUGUAAGAUAACACUCUGACACGCUAGUAAACACAAGUGAAUUAGUGGUUAUGAGAGAGACCCCAUGACACAGUUGCUUGCAGUAAGUUGGAUGCCAUCUCUUAGAAGACUUCUUGCAACCUGUUCUUAUCGGUUUUUGGUACAGAUUAAUGGGGAGACUUCCAGUAGGAUUUGGGUUACUGUCUGGCAUAGACACUUUUGAAAAUCUUACCUUAUCUCUAUGUAAUGACUAUGUAAUUCAUGCAGUGUGUUGAAGGUACACUUGAAAAAGUAGGUCUGGAUCGUAAUAUCCCUCCCUGCAUCCUUCUUUCCCAUCAGGCCAAAAUGGCACACCUCUGUGUGUGCUGGAUUACAAUUUAUGCUGAAAAUGUUCCACAAAGGUCAUAGCAGCUAUCUGAGGAACAAGCAGAGCUGUGCACCCUGCCCUGUGCUCAUGUAGAUUACCAGAGGUAGCAAUAAGGCCAGGGACUGUGUGCAGUAAGGAAAACUAGAGAAACUUGGAAACUGCGCAGGCUUUAGAUUGUAGAGUGUUACGAAGGGCUCAGAUGGGAGAGUUUACCAGAAGAAGUGCAAUUUAGAAAUUGAAACAGAUGGAAUUUCAGUAUCCUUUGCAAAUUGGCGUAUCAGACUCCUACAAUAGCUUGCAGAAUCCUUGUCCCUCCCAGUGCAUAGCUGGUUCUUACUCCCUGAACUUGAUUUGUUAACAUCUGAUGUCGAAGGGUCUGUUUCUUAUUUUUGUUGAGUUAUACCUUAAAUGUGUCCUUUUUGGCUACUUAUGUUCUCAUUUCUGCAAAGCGGCAGCCAAGCAGGGGCCCAAGAGCUCAUUCCUGGCCUUCAGAUUUAUUCCCAUCGCUUUGAUGGGUUGAGUCUGGUGCUGCCUGUAUUGCAGAGCACCUGGAUGGGGCGAUCACAGGCAUUCACUGGCACUGUGAUCUCAGCUGUGGAAACAAUUUUGCUGGCAGCAGAAGCUCAGUUUCACUGGGGAGGGGCCCAUAUUUCUUGUUUGAAGUGUGUGAAGCCUCAUCACAGUUCUGUUAUCAGACCCACUGGAAUUUUUUCCUUUCCUCUCUUCUUGGUCCACCUUCUCUCAUUCCUCUAAAUCUUACUUUACUUCUGCUUCUUCUCAAAGUCUCUAAUGUUACUUUUCUGGCUCUUUUUUUCUGUAAUCUCUCCCUUCAUUUUUUCUUCACCCAUUAGCUCUUCCUUCACGAUGCUCCUCUACUGCCUCCUCCAUUUUCUCUGCCUCUCUUGUUCACUUUCCAGGUGCCUCUCAUUCUUCUCCCCAUGUCCUCACUUUCAUUUCUUCUCCAGAAGCUCUCUGAAUUGCUGCAGCUAUGGGGUAUACCCCUUGGAAAGAUAGCCCUGUCUGAGUUAGAGGUGCUGUGAGCUGCAGAUCUGUUGCUGAUGUUAGUAUUUUUUUUGACAAGUGACACAGGUGACACAAGUGACACAGGGGGCCCAUGGAGCCAAGUAGCGUAGCUGGGCAGUAGAAGGCAGCUUAUGCCACAAAAGACAUCACUUGCUCCAUGGACCAAAAGAGAUUACAGCCCCAUUCCGACACAUAAACCAUUGAGGUUUACUGAAAAUAAGGAUUGAUUUGCUGGGCUAUUUAGAGGCAUUAAGAUGCAGAUAUAUAUUUUCUCCCCAGUCUGAUGUCAUUUUGCAUGUUAACUGCCUAAUUCCUUUUAGCCUAUUGAUUUUACUGGUUUAUAAGAAUGACACUUGUGUAGAAACUGUGGAGAACUUUGCUCAGGGUGACCAGUGAAGACUGUCAGUUUCUCUCAGUCGUCUUAUGGGGGGACUGAAGGCUCAGCACAGUUUAAGAGGAGAAAAAAUAGGGAGAGAAAGAACAAUGGCACUUCAUAGACCAUACUCCUUAGGUUGUAUCUGACUCUGGCUAAAUGACCUGGACUGAAAAAUGUUUUCCUGAGGCUCAGCUCAGCUGACAUCUGCAGCAUGGUCCUCAUAUUUUGUGAUAGUCGAGAGUGGUAUUCAUGAAAUUCUGUGUCAACUUCUUUAGCAUAUUAAGAUUGAAGAAUGCUAUGAAGUAAGCAUGAAUAUCAUUAUUCAAUUUCUCUUCCUUCUAGUAACUCUGAUUUACUUCAGAUUUUACGUGAUCUCCCAAUUAUCAGAGUUUGAUGUGCCACAGGUGUUUCUAUAAGCAUACUGUUGUAUUGCUUUUCGUUCCUUGGAGAACAGUUGAUGCUUUGCCAAUGUCUGAAUGGACCUGCUAACUCUGAGAGCAAAGAAGUGGUUAAUUUGAUAAUAUUUAACUUGCUAAACCAUUCAUAUGCAGAGGUAACGUGCUCAGGAGUUGAACAGGGCAGUGCGAUCUCCCUUAGCUAUCAUUUCAGGAUGCCUGCAGAAUCAGGAAGGCCGUGUAUCAGCUUACACUCAACUUGGUAAUCUUGCAUGGGGCCUGUUUGUGUCUCUUGUGCUGAAGGCUGAAUGUAAAAUGAACAUUGUUAGCCAAGAAAGCAAAUAAAGGGAACUAUUUCCCAAGGCAUUUUACUCUGUUUAUUUAACGCCUCUGAACAAACCCCUUUCCACAUCCUCUGAACCUACUGGCAACUUCAGAUAGCUCCAUUUCCUGCUGGGUGAGUUUUUUCUAAAAUGUUUAUUCAGCUCCAGGAAAUGAUGAUUUCCUGAAUAUUCUGAAACUUCAUAUUUUUGUUGUAUCCCUGUUUAUUUAAUAGUCUUACUUAUUGUGUGAGUGUGCAAAGCACAACAACAUCCCUUGCCAUGUAACUGUGGAAGGAGUGGAACUUGAUGUAGUACAUCAAAAACCAGUUUAAGUGAAACUAGAUCUGUUUUUGCCAAUUUAUACACUAGUGUAUUUCCAUUAGCUUGAGUAGUUACUCCUUAUUUACACUGACCUUAAUGAGUUCAGAAGUAGGCUUUUAAAUUUCUCCUACUCCUUAAGAAAAAGUGCCUAAAAAUUCAAACUAGUGAAGGAGAAUUAAUUAGCCCAAAGCUCAACAUUUUAUAAUUCACAGCUUACAUUAAUGUCUGCUAGUUUUCUUUAUGCAGGAAACCAAUAGAAGGCACCAAAUGUUUUCGUCGCCCUCCGCUGGGACUAAAAUUGAGAAAUUCUUAUUUUGUGAGGUCAAAGCUAACCUGUAUCCAGCACCCCAUCCCAACAUGGGUUUCACUAAAGAGAUUGAAACCUGUACACAGCCUUAAUGAAAAGGCCAUAAUAUUUUAUGUGAACCAGGAGUAACUAUGCUGAAAUGAGAAGUGCUUCACUAAGGUAAAUCAAGUGGGAUUGGUCCCAAAAGAAAUUCAGGAAUUACAUAGCUUUGCCAUUAACCUUGAACUGAGCCAAGUGUGUCUUCCAUGCUUUCUCCUUCUUUCUUGUCUACUUUUUGUUAACCUGCAUGGUCAGCUAUGACUUUUUUUUUUUUUUUCUUUUCUUUUUACAGGCAGAAAAGGUAAUUUAUGUUUCUUCUGAGCCUCAAGAGACAAUAUGGGCAUGCUGCGUUACCAUGCCCUAAAUGAAAUCUUAGAGUACCUAAGUAAAACUCACUCCACCCUUACCUGGAAGUUCCACUCAUGGAAACCACAUCCUUUCAUUGCCACCCACGUCUCCAUUUGGAAAGGACUUUGAAGGAGGAAGACUGAAGAUUAGAUCAUUCUUUUAUUAAGCAUCCUUUUGUCUGUUUUGCUCCAGAAACCAUGCUCUUCCUCUCCUAUGAGUCAUUUGUUGUUACUCUUACAAUUUCUGUGGUAGGAAGGCUGGGUGCUUUCCCCCAAUUUAAAAUGUUCUUUUUAGAGUUUCUCUUCUCUUCUCUUCUCUUCUCUUCUCUUCUCUUCUCUUCUCUUCUCUUCUCUUCUCUUCUCUUCUCUUCUCUUCUCUUCUCUUCUCUUCUCUUCUCUUCUCUUCUCUUCUCUUCUCUUUUUUUUUCUUCUCUUUUUUUCUUCCCUUUCCUUCCCUUCCCUUCCACUCCCUUCCCUUCUCCUUUUCCUCUCCUCUCCCUUUCUUCUCCCCUCCCCUCCCCUCUCCUCCCUUCCUUCCUUCCAUGUCCCUUCUUUGUUUUUUGUUAUGCAUUUCAUAUUCAUUCACUAUUUUUACCCAAUUCAGACAGAGCCAUGCUACAUUGUGGACUGUUGCCAAAAAUUCUGCCAGUGACAAAGAUUGAAGCCUUCAUACGAACUGGAAGGAGUCUGUUCUUGGUCCACCCCAUGUGAAGCAACACUGUGCCCAUGCAUCUCUAUCUGAGAUGAAUAUUCUUUCUUUUGAUGCCAAGUAUUUGAUGUCCACCUACUGAGCUGAGUAAUCUCUGAGGAUGCCAUUGUUGCCAUGUUACCUCCUUCCUGAGUUCCUGUUGUGUAACUUUCCCACCAAUGUCUAUACUGGAUGGUGAAAAGAAGAAUGAAGACGAGACAGCCAGUGCUGUCAGCUUUUCUUCCACCUGAUUCAGGCUUUGGCCAUGCCCUGUAUCUGCUCCAGAAAGCCAAGGCUUCAGAUGAAGGAUGGAAGAAGGAAAGCAGGAGGCUGGGAAAUGAUUUUGGUCAUGUCCACGCUGGCAGGAAAAGCAACACUGUGGGCAGAAACUUUAAAUAUACAUGGCAAAAACCAGCAGACCAGGGCCUGAAUCUUGAUAUGUUUGCUAUAUGAUACUACCACAAUUCCUUAAGGAGUAACAUGAUAGUUUUCUGCAGAGGAAUGUUUUCUGAACAUGGCCAAAAUAUGGCAUUUGGAAAAGUGAGCUGCACAUCAUUUCUCCAAAUGAGAAUGCAAAUAGCGGAGAAUGCAAAUAGCUGGCCUUUUAAAGCCUCCCUGAAAAUUUCAUAGACAACUCAGAUCAAUAUGAUUUAAAGGUAAAGAUUUGCAUUUGCAUGACUCAAGGUGGAAAAAUGAGCUAUAGAUCAUGAGCUCAAACUCUUCUAACACAAGAUUUCUUUAGUCUGAUAAAACAAGAUAUGCUGUUUUGAGAGCAAUACUGUCUGAGGGCAGAGCGGGAGUUUAUUCACAAGAAAAAAUAAUGCAGAGAUUGUGGUGACUGCAUGUUGACUUGGUUCCUGCAUUUUACAACCAUUGCUUUAAGAGUAAGUGAUAGAUUUGCAUUUUUAAAACACUAAUUCCCAUCUGCCCCAUGUGUCUUUGUUGAACUCAGUUGACAAAUAUCUGCAGAGGAUGUUAGGAGUGAUGUUACACAAAAUAUCAUACUGAAAAAAAAUUAAUAAUAAAAAUGAAUAACAGUCUCCUUACGUGUUCUCUCCCUUGCUCUUUCCUCAUUGCCAUUGUGCUUCUCUUUCUGUUUGGAUGUGUGGCCACUGGGUGAUUUUCAAAGGCUCCAAAGCCUGGGCCAUUGGUG
ensembl:lncRNA